rnacentral:rRNA from 1 species
UACGUAGGGUGCGAGCGUUGUCCGGAAUUAUUGGGCGUAAAGCGCGCGAGGCGGAUCUGUUUGUCCGUAAGUGAAAUCCCGCCGCUCAACGGCGGGGGCUGCUUGGGAAACGGCAGGUCUGGGGACCGGUAGAGGUCGGUAGAAUUCCCGGUGUAGCGGUGGAAUGCGUAGAGAUCGGGAAGAAUACCCGUGGCGAAGGCGGCCGACUGGGCCGGAUCCGACGCUGAUGCGCGAAAGCGUGGGGAGCAAACAGG